AUCUCACAAAGAGGAUACAAAGGCAGGAAGACUCCAUGUUGCUUUCUCCCAGCAUCUUGUACUGAAAAGAACUGGUUCCUCUUAACAUGGCAGUUCCAUUUAGCUAUCACAGAUAAUGUAAAUAAUACACUUCUACUCCAAGAAACCCAGAAACAGCCAGAGAAACUUAAGCUGUUCAUUUAAAGACUGGAAGGAAAUUGGCAGUAUGUGAAAAUCUGGACCUCCUAUACUUGUUGAAAACAAAGUUCUGUGGAUGUCACAGUGCUCUGAACAGCAGUUUAGAAAUGAAGAUAAAUACCUGUGUCUGGCUUUUCACACCUGGAAAUUCCUGUAUUGCCUGAUGCCAAGAUUCAAGGCUUCAAGCAGACACCCUAAUGAGAAGGCACGCUGUGACAAUCUGCUAGGGAGCUGCAAUGCCUCAUCUAGACACUGGACAAACCUGCAUAGUUGCUGAAUAAUGGGCUUCAGACCAUGACCUGGGCUCACUGCUAUCACAUUUAAUUUGACUUUGAGAUAUUUAGAAUAGAAAAUGAGGUUUAAUGGAAUCUGCAAGCCGACAAGCAGUCAGAAUGUAAGUGAUUUUACAUUUUACUGCCAAUAUACAUUUUCCCCAGAAGUACUGGACUGACCACUGUUGAAAACAGAAUGCUGAGCUAGGUGGACUAUGGUCUGCCCAACCAUACCUUGCUAUAUUUUUUAUUGUCUUUUGGACCAGAUUGUUGGGUAACAAUGGGCACAGGAUUUUAAUAGCAGUUACAGUGAUUUCGUUUGCCCUUGGAGUGAUCUUAGCUUUGAAACUUGCUUUACACGCAGGCAUACCAGCAAGUUGAAUGUUGAUUCACCUAUCCUGCCCCCCCCCAAGUAAAAAAUAACAACAGGGGGCUCUCUUCCUGUGUGUGUUUGUUUCCAGAAUAGUUAUAAAAUCAGUGGGAGGCUGGCUGUUGCUGAUGUCCCUGGUGCUUACCAAUAGGCAGACUCCACAUAAGCAUUUUCAUGAUUUACACUGAACCACAGUGAAAACCAGGAGAGCAUGCAUUAGGAUGGAAAUAAAUUUAUUAACAUUUGACUUCAAUAUUACAUUCAAUAUUUUCAAAACUUCAACGUUUGUUGGGUUUUGGUAUGGUUUAUUAUUAUUUUAUUGCAUUUUCAGCUGUCUUGAAUG
rnacentral:lncRNA from 1 species